AACGAACGCUGGCGGCGCGCCUAAUACAUGCAAGUCGAGCGAGAAGGUGUAGCAAUACACUUGUAAAGCGGCGAACGGGUGAGGAAUGCAUGGGUAACCUACCCUCGAGUGGGGAAUAACUAGCCGAAAGGUUAGCUAAUACCGCAUACGUUUCCGGAACUUCGGUUUCGGAAAGAAAGCAAUACCGUGGGUAUUGCGCUCAUGGAUGGGCUCAUGUCCUAUCAGCUUGUUGGUGAGGUAACGGCUCACCAAGGCUUCGACGGGUAGCUGGUCUGAGAGGACGAUCAGCCACACUGGCACUGCGACACGGGCCAGACUCCUACGGGAGGCAGCAGUAAGGAAUAUUGCGCAAUGGACGAAAGUCUGACGCAGCGACGCCGCGUGGGGGAUGAAGGGUCUUCGGAUUGUAAACCCCUUUCGGGAGGGAAGGAUGGGAGUGGGUAACCACUUGGACGGUACCGUCCAGAAGCAGCCACGGCUAACUUCGUGCCAGCAGCCGCGGUAAU
rnacentral:rRNA from 1 species